GGAGCAGUGCAGAUCGUCGCGUCUGUCGAAAGACAGAUGAGGAAAGUCCGGGCACCAAAGGGCUGGUUGCUGGGUAACGCCCAGUGCGCGUGAGCGUGAGGAUAGUGCCACAGAAAUGUUAACCGCCAGAUUUAUCUGGUAAGGGUGCAACGGUGCGGUAAGAGCGCACCAGCAAGAUCGAGAGGUCUUGGCUAGGUAAACCCCGCUGAAGGUGCAAGGCGAAGGUAUAUCUCAAGGAAAUGGCUGCCCGUCAUCUUGAGGUGCUGAUGCCGCUAGAGGGUCCAGGUAACUGUACUCGAAGAGAGAUGACGGUCUAGAACAGAACCCGGCUUAUGCACCGCUCCUUUU
rnacentral:RNase_P_RNA from 1 species